AAAAAAACACUCAACGCCCGACCCAGAUCCCCAAUAUCCCAUCUCCGCUCCCACCUCCUCUCCUCCUCUCCCAAGUCCCAACCCGCCAUGGAGGGGGCCCGCCCCCCAGCGCCGCCGCCGCCUCCGGCUCUGGCGGCGGCGGGGAGAAGGGCGCCCUGUGCCAGGAGUGCGGGGAGCAGCCGUGGAAUUACCGGUGCCCGGGCUGCUCCCGCCUCACCUGCAGCCUCCCCUGCGUGCAGGCCCACAAGCGCCGCACCGCCUGCUCCGGCAAGCGCCCCCGCACCGUCCCCGUCGCGCUCGCCCAGUUCGACGGCAACCAGCUCCUCUCCGAUUACAACUUGCUGGAGGAGACGAGCCAGGUCAGGGAGUCGGCCCACAGGCUGCUCGACGGCUUCGGCUGCGGCUUCGAGGGACGCCAUGGCGCCCAGCUGCUGCCGUGGCUCUCCUUCCUCGGCAAGGCCGCGGAGCGCCGGGGCGUCCGACUCGCCGUCCAAACCUGAAUUUUCCAUGGACCAUGUUGCUUGUUUCUACCGGGAUAAGUGCGAGGCAUACAUUCCUGCCGGUGUCGGCGGCUCGAUCAGGUCGGGGGGCAUCGGUCGCCGAGGCCGAGAAGACCGGGCUGUCGUUGGAUAGCUUCAAGACAACCGUUGUCAAACGCGACGACAAAAACAUCCAUGUGAGAUUGUUUGUGAACUCUGCCAAGCCAUGUUAAAUUAAAGCUGUCAACUCAGGAAAAAAAAAUUGGGUCCUGGUGAUAUAUAAGGAAGUCAAUUAAAAUAUUUUUCAUUGACCAUUUGUAGUAGUAUAGAUUUCUUAAAGGAUUAAACAAAAAUCUCCUAUGUCUAGAACUAGAAGACAUCUUAGAAAGUUAGGAUACAGAGCUAGAAGGAUGCACAACUUCAGGAAAGAACAAUUAUUAUAUUUUAAGGUUGUAAAGGUUGUAUGUUGUGUUUGCUAAGACUAAAGAUUGUAAAUUCAUCAUCGUACCAAUGUCGUUCUCUUUGCAGAUGAUUCUAGAAACUAUAUUAUGCUAGGAGUGCCUUACUGCAGCAACUAGCAGCAAGGCCAGCCACUGGUUAAACUGGAAAGUUGUACUGACUUUCAGCAAGAUCAUGCGAUGAUCUUAGUAUGCUUCUGCUGCCAAGUAAGAAAUACAGUUUGUCAAAGUAUGGAUGUGGGCUAAAAUGGAACCCGGUGGACAGAUCGUUCCCAAGAAAAUCCGUUGAAUAUGUGAAUCUAGAAGUACUGCUGAUUGUAGAGAUUGAUUCUUUGAAUAUGUGAAUCUAGCGGACAGAUUGCCUCUCUGCCCGCUCGCUCGCCAGCGGCAGCAUCGCACACCAAGGUACGCGCCUCCCCCGUCGUCGUUCCUCUUCCGUUCGGGAACUCGCUGGUCGAUGUGCACGCACGGGACCAAUGUCUGAAGCAUAGUACAACUUUCCAGUUCAACGAUGGUGGCGAGCCGGUUAAAUUUGCAAAUCUAAGUUUAUUUGUGCUUGAAAUUCCUGCCUGUUGAGGGCAUAGCUUUUGGACGAUUAGUUACCAUGGGUUGCACUACGAUUUGUGAAUUAUUAAUGCUGACGAAACGGCGAGUGAUUGAUUCUACUGAUGCAUCUCUUUAUGGCAGAAAAGCUCAACACUCUCAAGGACCAGCUUAGGGGACUGGAGGCAGGUCCGGCAGAAGCUCUGUCCAGUAAGCAUUUCUUCACCCUUGGGCAACUUUGCACAAAUGGAUUGUGUAUUACACUCCAAGCGAAUUGGGCAGCUUAGGGGACUGGAGGCAGUGAAAAAUCUUGCACCUUGACCGACAGAAUUAAGAGGGACUAGAAUGGGGAAGGACCUCUGUUGUAUCAGCUAACAGUAACACAUCAGCAGUACCUAAUGAUGGCAAUGGAUAAAAUCUACUCCGGAGAGUUGACAGAGGGAGCACAUGCUAAGUUGACUUUUUCCUACGGAUUUGCUUAUCGUGAAGAUGCUUGCAAGGAUGCAGAGGGAGCGGAUCAUUUGGAGAGAUGCCACUGUUUGGUGUUUUUAUGCAUUUUGGUUUGCUUGUAACUGUGUUUGCACUAGCUGGGAGUAAGUGACUUGGCAAGAAGUGUAGGUGUUUUAAUUGAAGGCCUGAAAACCAUGACAAUUAUGUAUGCUCUUACAGGAUGUGCUCUAAUGCCGCUGGUUUAUUAUAAAUCUAGGAUUAGUAAUGAUGUGUACUGCUGCUGGUUUAUUGCAAAUAUGUGUUUGUUUA